rnacentral:misc_RNA from 1 species
GAACUGUGAUAAGUGAUGUGAAUUGCAGACGUACACGAAUCAUCGAACCCUUGAACGCAUUCUGCGCCUCGAAGCUGUCUUCGGGGCAUAUCUGGAUGAGUGUCGGUUUAACCUCCUUGCAUAAUCUAUUUAUGCAGUUUUUGAUAGUAAAUUGACCUAGUCAAUUAGGUUAAAUUUUCUAUUAAAAUACAUGGGUAUCCUCGCAUAGGAUUUGGCAAAACCGGAGCAAACCCUUUGAAUGGUUAGAAGUAACUUGUUUACUACUCUUCAUUCUGGGCUAUCUGAUGAACCAAAUUGUUCCUAGUCGCGUAGGGGAUCAUGCUUGUUAAACCUUCGAAUCAAACCUUCGACCUCAUCUAGGUAAGAUUACCCGCUGAAGUUAAGC